GAUGAACGCUGGCGGCGUGCCUAAUACAUGCAAGUCGAGCGAACAGACGAGGAGUUUGCUCCCCUGACGUUAGCGGCGGACGGGUGAGUAACACGUGGAUAACCUACCUAUAAGACUGGGAUAACUUCGGGAAACCGGAGCUAAUACCGGAUAAUAUAUUGAACUGCAUGGUUCAAUAGUGAAAGACGGUUUUGCUGUCACUUAUAGACGGACCCGCGCCGCAUUAGUUAGUUGGCAAGGUAACGGCUCACCAAGGCAACGAUGCGUAGCCGACCUGAGAGAGUGAUCAGCCACACUGGAACUGAGACGCAAAACAGACUCCAACAGGUGGCCGCGGUAGGGAAUCUUACGGGAUGGGCGAAAGGGUGACGGAGCAACGCCGCCUAAGGGAUGAAGGUCUAAGGAUCGGAAAGCUAUGAUGUGAGGAAAGAACAAAUGUAUAAGUAACUAAGCACGUCUUGACGGUACCGAAACAAAAAGCAACGGAUAACUACGUG
rnacentral:rRNA from 1 species